UGGAGUUUCUGUUUUUUCCUUCACUGCACUUCCUUCCUCAAAUGCACUGCGAAGGGCUUCCAUUUUUGUCUCCUUAUCUCGUGAAAGGGCCUUGUCGUCUUCUCUGUGGGGACGAAAGUAAGUAUAAGUAAUAUGACAAGAGGUAGAGGGAUGAUCGAGAGGAGCGCAUCUACUGGAGUCACUUGCUCAACUUCGUCUCCUCCGGUUCUUCCAUCGGCUCUUCUCGUCGACUGUGAUGGAGUGCGAGUGGAUACAGAUAAAUAUGGACAUAGGAUUUCCUUUAAUGACAGUUUCGGAGAGAAAGGACUGGGGGUGUUACUUGGGAUGUGGAUGUGUAUGGUGAAUUGCUCAUUGGAGGUGGAAAAGAAAGAAUGACGGCCUACUUUAACAAGACUGGUUGGCCAGAAAAUGCUCCAAAGAGUGAAGAAGAAGGAAAAGAAUUCAUAGCUUCUCUUCACAAGCGAAAAACAGAGCUCUUCAUCGCCCUUAUUGAGAAAAGAUUACUCCCUCUUUGGCCUGGUUUCUCCAAUAGUUUCAUGCUUGCUGGGACCAGAGCAAGCAGAAAAAUCAAGAUAUUUGCCGGAGAUGUUGUUCCAAGCAAGAAGCUUGAUCCUGUAAAUUUUUUGUCCACCGGCAGUUCUAGACAUAAAUGUUGUUAUAUUUCGAUUUGAUUAUUAUUUAUGCAUGCAAUGAUGCAAGUACACCCUCUAUGGCCAUUCUAGAGUGAUAAACUAAUAUUGGGCAGGUGAUAUCUUCAGAAUCAUUUACACCCUAAGAGGUGACAAAUAAUAGGAUUCUUUACUAUAAUUAUGAGACUGAAGUUGUUGCACAGGAUCUGUUUUUUGCAUUUGUUGAUUUUAGAGUUCAAUUUGAUCCUAGUUUGAUGUCCUCACUGACAUCCUCUCUUGGUGAAUGAUAAUGCAAGGAUAAGCUGUCCAGUAAUGGAUAGUUUUUUACUUUUUUUUUUUUACAGGGCAUUUAUGUACUAGCAGCCAAGAUGCUUGGGGUUGACCCUUCAAGGUAUUUCAUGACAGAUUUUUCUGUAAUUAUAAUCUAAUCUAUUUAUGUGACCUUUUGCUCAGAAUUGUGCAGUUAUACAGUGGUCGAAGAGGAUUUCUUAAAUGCAGAUGCAGUUUUUGACUGCAUUCGAGAUUCUCCAGAAGAACGUUUUGAUCUGGCAUUCUUUGUACGCCUUCUUGAAAAACACAGGAAGCAGUCAGCUACUAUUACUAACUACGGGUCGGGUCGGCGGGUCCCAACGGUUCAACUGUCUCAUACAUUUGGCCAUUGUCAAGUAGGGACCACUGCCUCAUAUCUUGAGUUGGCAUGCAUAUUGGUUUAUAUUCAUUGUUGCCCGUGCUUCCUUUAAAAAGUGGAAUAAAUUUACGCAGCUCUCCUGGCUACCCUCUACAAAAAGAUAAGUCUGGCCCCCAUCCAAGGUAAGUCCCCCAACGACCACUUAUUAUGGUAGAAAGAGACCGGGCAUGCACAUUGGUCCCCCAAUAUUAUGCAAAAGAGAGACUUUUAAUCAUCUUGGACUUGGAAGUACGCUAUCUGAUUCUGAUUGCAGCUUUGUUAUAUAUGCUAUUACAGUUAUCUCAUAUAUCCAGGUGUCAUUCGC